UACCAGCACCCCGAGUGGUCGGGACGUUUAUUGGGCCUAAAGGCAUCCGUAGCCGGUUCUACAAGUCUUCCGUUAAAUCCAACUGACUUGAACAGGUGGGCUGCGGAAGAUACUAUAGAGCUAGGAGGCGGGAGAGGCAAGCGGUACUCGAUGGGUAGGGGUAAAAUCCGUUGAUCCAUUGAAGACCACCAGUGGCGAAGGCGGCUUGCCAGAACGCGCUCGACGGUGAGGGAUGAAAGCUGGGGGAGCCAAACCGG
rnacentral:rRNA from 1 species